GAUGAACGCUGGCGGCGUGCCUAAUACAUGCAAGUCGAGCGAACAGACGAGGUGCUUGCUCCUCUGACGUUAGCGGCGGACGGGUGAGUAACACGUGGAUAACCUACCUAUAAGACUGGGAUAACUUCGGGAAACCGGAGCUAAUACCGGAUAAUAUAUUGAACCGCAUGGUUCAAUAGUGAAAGACGGUUUUGCUGUCACUUAUAGAUGGAUCCGCGCCGCAUUAGCUAGUUGGUAAGGUAACGGCUUACCAAGGCAACGAUGCGUAGCCGACCUGAGAGGGUGAUCGGCCACACUGGAACUGAGACACGGUCCAGACUCCUACGGGAGGCAGCAGUAGGGAAUCGUACGCAAUGGGCGAAAGCCUGACGGAGCAACGCCGCGUGAGUGAUGAAGGUCUUCGGAUCGUAAAACUCUGUUAUUAGGGAAGAACAAAUGUGUAAGUAACUAUGCACGACUUGACGGUACCUAAUCAGAAAGCCACGGCUAACUACGUG
rnacentral:rRNA from 1 species